rnacentral:rRNA from 1 species
UCGGGAAUUUUGGGCAAUGGGCGAAAGCCUGACCCAGCAACGCCGCGUGAAGGAUGAAAUCCCUCGGGAUGUAAACUUCGCAAGAACGGGAAGAAUAAGUCUGUGUUAACACCACAGGCGAUGACGGUACUGUUUGUAAGCUCCGGCUAACUCCGUG